CACGGGGGGAGCAAGCGUUGUUCGGAUUCAUUGGGCGUAAAGGGCUCGUAGGUGGCUUUGUAAGUCGGAGGUGAAAUCCCAUGGCUCAACCAUGGACACGCCUUCGAAACUGUGAAGCUUGAGGCUGGGAGAGGAGAUCGGAAUUCCUGGUGUAGCGGUGGAAUGCGCAGAUAUCAGGAGGAACACCAAUAGCGAAGGCAGCUCGCUGGGACGGUACUGACGCUAAGGCGCGAAAGCCAGGGGAGCGAACGGG
rnacentral:rRNA from 1 species